GACAGCAACUUUGAUAAGUUUUUGGAAAAUAGUAACAGAUAUUUUCCAACGUAAAGCGAAGAGCACAAUCGAAGGAUGUGUAAGCAGAGUGGCACGAAGCGAUAAAAGCCAAGACACACAAAACUAAAAGGCAUCCACAGUAGCGAAUACUGUUUUGU